CUUUAUUUUUAUUGUCCACACACGUGUCGACACAUGCGGCUGGGUGCCUGGGAAUUCGCUCCGGGUUGUCGCGUGGGAUGCGUGGAGGUCCAAC
rnacentral:sRNA from 20 species